GCUAGAUUUAGCUAGUGCGACCUUAAGGCCUCGGCCUUGUAGGAAAAAAUAGAUAAGGCGGACAGGUUGGAAAGCACAGCGCUCAAGAGUGUAGCAACAUCUAUUAUCUGCGCUGCAAAUCCGCUACGGAUAAAUGCCUGAAUCAGAACGAUGACGCAAAUGAGAAACGCCCUUUUAGAAACGAAUACUGAAGAAAAUUGCUUAUAGUCUACCAUUGACAAGAACGACUUCGCGCAACUGUUUUGCUGUUCGUCGACGAGAACACAUGGGCUGAUUAAUUAGCUGGGCUGUCGCGACAGCUUUACGCAUGGUGACCAGAACGCUCAGCCAGAUACGGAAAUCGCAGAAGAUCAAUAGAGAGAACCACUGAUAGCUCCUUUCCGGUACAGUUUUUCGAUACUGCGCAUGGAUGGACGGUCCUAGUCAUCUUCGCCAGGUAACCGGUACUCUCCUUUCGCUGUUCAGAUUCUGUACACAGCCCUAAAACCGCUGAGGAGCAAACGCUAUUUGACAGCAAUCCUCGAUAAUAUGAAAAAAGAAAGGGUAGAAAAACGUCCCUUGAAGAGAGCAUCACCCCAUGUCGGCCGAAAAUCAGUUUAGAAUAUA